CUGAUUUGGUUUGGGGCCCUUCCCGGGGUACCCUGCUGAGCCAAACUCCGAAUACCAUUGCGACUAUCUCAGGAGUCAGUCCGCGAGGGAUAAGCUUCGCGGUCGAGAGGGAAACAACCCAGAUUACCUGCUAAGGUCCCGAAGUCGUACUCAGUCACUAAGGAAGUUGAAUUGCCGUGACAACCAGGAUGUUGGCUUAGAAGCAGC
rnacentral:rRNA from 14 species